AAUCGCAACUCAAGGAGCAGACAGUGUUAAUCAGUAGAGCACAUACGGGCGGUUUCAUUCUCUACUCAGCAAUUGAUGUGCAACUGUGUGAGUUUUAUUUCUGAGAGGACCCUCGGGCAUAAAGCAUAAAGCAGGAACCAGUUUGACAUCCAGGAAAGAAAAACCGACACAGACAUGGAGGAUAAGAACUGUUCUUUUGUGGAGUAUUCGGUGCAGCGGCAAGUUUUGGAUGAGUUAUGUCUGGAUGAGGUGGCACAAAAAGGGUCGUGGUCCGCAAAGCCAACCUUCAGUGAACGUCUCAAAGGCUCCAUGAGGUGCUCAGCCCCUCGUGCCAAGGAAAUCUUGCUGAGCUGGGUCCCUGUUUUUGGCUGGCUUCCUAAAUACUCCAUCAGAGAGAACGCAAUUGGGGAUCUGAUCUCUGGCUGCAGUGUGGGCAUCAUGCAUCUUCCACAGGGUAUGGCGUAUGCUCUUCUGGCAUCGUUAAGCCCCGUGAUCGGCCUGUACACUUCACUCUACCCGGUGCUGGUCUACUUCAUCUUUGGCACCUCCAGACACAUCUCUAUUGGUACUUUUGCUGUGAUCAGCAUCAUGAUUGGGAGUGUGACAGAGCGGCUGGCUCCAGACAGUAACUUCCUUGUUAAUGCUACUAAUGGGACAGGAAGUGUCAAUACCAAUGAACAGGGUGCUUACAGAGUACAGAUAGCCUGUUCGCUCACAGUCCUGGCGGGGUUGUUUCAGAUCCUGUUGGGUGUGGUGAGGUUUGGUUUCGUGGUCACCUACUUGUCUGAGCCACUGGUCCGAGGAUACACCACAGGAUCAGCAUGCCAUGUGUUUGGCUCCCAGCUCAAAUAUUUGUUUGGGCUCUCUCCAGCUCGCACCUCCGGUCCUCUCUCACUCAUUUAUACUCUGGUAAAUAUAUGUUGCUUGCUACCUCAGACGGUCAUACCAGAGCUAGUGGUGAGUGUGGUGGCGCUCACUGUUCUCAUUGUGGUCAAAGAACUCAAUCAAUGCUACAGGCAGAGGUUGCCCUUGCCUAUUCCCAUUGAACUCAUUGUGAUCAUAGCAGCAACAAUCAUCACUCAUUUUUGUGACCUCUCUGCAAAAUACAACGUUGAUGUUGUUGGCGAAAUCCCCAGUGGGCUUAAGGCCCCCCAAGCUCCAGACGUGUCGCUGUUCCCUGCGGUGAUUGGUGAUGCUUUUGCUGUUGCCAUUGUGGGCUAUGCCAUCAACAUUUCUCUUGGUAAAACAUUUGCACUCAAGCAUGGCUACAAGGUGGAUAGCAACCAGGAGCUGGUUGCUCUCGGGCUGAGCAACACCGUCGGCGGCUGUUUUCAAUGUUACUCCGUCACUUCUUCCUUGUCGCGAAGCCUCGUUCAGGAGAGCACCGGGGGAAAGACACAAGUCGCUGGACUGAUUUCUUCCAUUAUCGUUCUGAUUACGGUCUUAAAAAUAGGAGCUCUCUUUGAAACUCUCCCCAAGGCUGUCUUAUCCACAAUAGUAAUUGUGAACUUGAAAGGAAUGUUUAAGCAGUUCAGUGAUGUGCCGAUGCUGUGGAAGACCAACAAGGUUGAUUUGCUCGUGUGGCUGGUCACGUUCACAUGCACCAUUCUACUCAACUUGGACCUGGGUUUGGCCGUCUCCAUUGGCUUUUCUCUGCUGACGGUGAUCUUCAGAACCCAGCUGCCACGCUAUUCAAUCUUGGGCCAAGUGCCAGCCACCAACUUAUAUCUGGACGUUGACACAUACAAAGAGGCUAAAGAGAUUCCAGGAAUCAAAAUCUUCCGUUCUUCCGCAACUAUUUACUACACCAAUGCUGAAAUGUACUUGGAGGCCUUACAAGAGAAGAGUGGCAUUCAAAUCGGGAAGCUGCUGGCAGAAAAGAAAAAACAAGAUGCAACUCGGAAGCAGCAGAAGGAAAAGACAGACAAAAAUGAACCAAACCCACAAAGGGUCAGCAAUCUUCUGCCUAAUGGCACAUUCUCCAUGGAAGAGAAACAAAUCUCUCCAGAAAUGGGAGGACGGAAUUUUAAACGUGCUGUGGCCCUGAAGCUGACGGAAUCUCCAGCUAAUGGCUUUAGUCAAGGCCAAGUGAACUGGGCUUACCAAUCCGACACAAUGUCUGACUCCGACAUGGGAUCCCAGCAUGAUGACAGUAUCACGCAGGCUUCAAAAGACAGCCAUGACAAAAAGGAACCCACUGAUUCAUUCGGUCCUCACAGCAUCAUCUUGGACCUCUCAACAACCAGCUUCGUGGACACUGUCGCUGUGAAGACCUUGAAAAAUAUUUUCAGGGACCUAGGAGAUAUUGGUGUGGGAGUCUAUCUCACUGGCUGCCAAGCCUGCGUGGUGGAGCAGCUGGAAAGAGCAGGUUUCUUCUCAGAGCCCAUCCCAAAGAGCAGACUGUUUGUCACAAUCCAUGAUGCGGUGCUCCACAUUCUUAACAAAGUGGGACAGACGGACGUCAUCCUUGAUGUUUCCUACAACACCAAAAUGUGACCAGCAGGGGCCAGCCUGUUCCAACACGCCAUUCCUCCAUUCCCAUUUGCUUUUGAACUGAAGGCGUGCUGUUGCUCACUAUUGGUAUACAUUCUCCUCCCCUCCCCCCAUAUGGGGAGAAAAGUCCGCCAUCUUAACAUGGCGGCGCACUUGCCAUGGAAAUACAGGGACCCGUUGCUGACAACGAGCGUUUUGUUUUAUUGUCUAAUGAGAUGAGGCAGCUUCUCGCCAGCAAACAUAAGCAUUUCAGAUAGCUUCUUAUAUGUUAAACAUGUUCACUGGAAAAACCCGACACAGAUGGGCGUGAUUAGAAAGCAAUAGUUAUCCCUAGUUUAUCGCGGUUAAUGGGGACCAAAACUUUUGUUUUGGUCCUGUUAUGUUUGGUUUUGAUUCCUCAUGUGCCUUUUUUCACCACCUGUUCUCGUUAUCAGUGUUCCUUGUGUGUAACCAAUUAGCUCCCUCAACCCUCGGUAUUUAGCUUGUAUUCAGUUCCCUGAGUUUGUCAGUCAUUGUUGUGUCAUUGUGAGCUGUGAGUAUGUGAGCUUAUGUGUGCUCCUGUCAUGUUGUUUCCUGUUGUAGUUUUGUUUGAUACUUGUGAUUUCCAGGCAUUUUUUUGAGUAUUUCGACUUGUGUUUUUUUCCAUUGUACUUCUGUGUAUAUUUUUUGUUAAAUACAUUUUGCUCAAUCCACCCUG